rnacentral:lncRNA from 1 species
GGGGGAUGAUCUACGCAUAACGGACGUGAACUACUAAUGAUCAAAUGAAUGAUCCUGAACACCUACCUACGUCAGACAUAACCCCAUCGUGUCCUCGAUCGGAGAAGGAACUCACGAAAGAGACAGUCACGGUUACGCACACAGUUGGCAUAUUUUAAUUAAGUUAACUUCAAGUUAUCUAGAACCAGUGUUAAACAAAGUUUCCACGUUGCCACAUAACCGCGGCCACGGCUUUCCGAAAAGAUUUAACCCUGCAGGGGUGCUCCAACUAGUCCAUCACAAAUUACCACAAGCCGCAUAGAAAUCCUCAAUCACGAAGCUCGCAAUCUCGUCGGAUUCCCUAGUGGAAAACCUCAACUCUGAGUUUACCCAAAGCAUCACCGGAAUCCCGAUGCACAAGAUAUCUC